rnacentral:tRNA from 1 species
AUAAUGUUAGUAUAUUUAGUACAUGUUCCUUCCAAGAAUAAAGAUUAGUAACAUUAUA